UAGGGAAUCUUCCACAAUGGACGAAAGUCUGAUGGAGCAACGCCGCGUGAGUGAAGAAGGGUUUCGGCUCGUAAAGCUCUGUUGGUAGUGAAGAAAGAUAGAGGUAGUAACUGGCCUUUAUUUGACGGUAAUUACUUAGAAAGUCACGGCUAACUACGUGCCAGCAGCCGCG
rnacentral:rRNA from 1 species